GCGGAUGUAGCUCAGUUGGUAGAGCCCUGGAUUGUGGUUCCGGUGGUCGUGGGUUCGAGUCCCAUCGUUCGCCCCA
rnacentral:tRNA from 1 species